rnacentral:rRNA from 1 species
UACGAAGGGUGCAAGCGUUGUCCGGAAUUAUUGGGCGUAAAGAGCUCGUAGGCGGUCUGUCGCGUCUGCUGUGAAAACCCGGGGCUCAACCCCGGGCUUGCAGUGGAUACGGGCAGACUAGAGUUCGGUAGGGGAGACUGGAAUUCCUGGUGUAGCGGUGAAAUGCGCAGAUAUCAGGAGGAACACCGGUGGCGAAGGCGGAUCUCUGGGCCAUUACUGACGCUGAGGAGCGAAAGCGUGGGGAGCGAACAGG